AACGAACGCUGGCGGCAGGCCUAACACAUGCAAGUCGAACGCUCCAGCAAUGGAGAGUGGCAGACGGGUGAGUAACGCGUGGGAACCUACCCUUUGGUUCGGAAUAGCCCAGGGAAACUUGGGGUAAUACCGGAUAAGCCCUGCGGGGGAAAGAUUUAUCGCCAUUGGAUGGGCCCGCGUCGGAUUAGCUAGUUGGUGGGGUAAUGGCCUACCAAGGCGACGAUCCGUGGCUGGUCUGAGAGGAUGAUCAGCCACACUGGGACUGAGACACGGCCCAGACUCCUACGGGAGGCAGCAGUGGGGAAUAUUGGACAAUGGGCGCAAGCCUGAUCCAGCCAUGCCGCGUGAGUGACGAAGGUCUUCGGAUUGUAAAGCUCUUUUGGCGGGGACGAUAAUGACGGUACCCGCAGAAUAAGCUCCGGCUAACUUCGUGCCAGCCGCCGCUGUAA
rnacentral:rRNA from 1 species